rnacentral:lncRNA from 1 species
CUUUUUGUUUUUUCAUAUUUCCUUGUACCUUUUCAUCUUGGUGAAUCUGUCAAAUGUCUAUUUUAUUAGCUUCAUGAAAACAAGGCAUCUUACUUUUAUUGACCUUGUUCUCUAUUUUAUGAAUUUAUGCUUUCACCCUUAAUAAUUUCUCCCUUCUAUUUGCCCCCUCCCCAUUGUUCGUACUAUGUUUUUAGGUUGGAGAACUAGCUGAUUUUCACAUCAAAUAUGAGUAGUUAAGGCUAUAAACUUCCCUGAAAGCAUGUUUUAAUUGUCUCAUAGGUUUUUAUACAUAGUAUUUUCAUUAUGUUUAAACUUUAAGAUUUUAAGAUUUCCCUCAUGAUCUCUUUGAUCCAUGUAUUUAUAAAUAUGUUUUUUUUUUUUUAAUUUUCCCACUGUACAGCAAGGGGAUCAAGUUAUCCUUACAUGUAUACAUUUUUCCCCCACCCUUUGUUCUGUUGCAACAUGAGUAUCUAGACAAAGUUCUCAAUGCUAUUCAGCAGGAUCUCCUUGUAAAUCUAAGUUGUGUCUGAUAAGCCCAAGCUUCCGAUCCCUCCCACUUAGAAAUAUGUUUUAUUUACCUUCGUUACUAAUAUAUAACUUAGUUACAGUGUUUUAAGACAACAUGGAUGCUAUACCAAUUCUUAAAUUAGUAAAUAAUUUUUAAUGGAGAGUCAACUCGUAAUGGUUGCAAGUGUGCUUCAAAUGAAUUGUUUUCUGAAAAUUUUUAAAGCGAAGUGUCUGUAUUUCUAUUUGCAUUUGGUGAGGCUUCUAAGUUGUAUUGUUUAAAUCUGUAUGCUAUUGAUUUCGUCUAUGUGAUUUCUCAGUACUUCAAAAGAGAUGUUGAAUUCUCUUGUUUGGUGAUUUUAGAGUUUUUCUAUGGACUUCUAUAAAUUAAUGCACUGUAUAUUUUUGAGACUAUUUUUAUGUGGAAAUGUAAUAUUAUGCAAUAUUUUCAUGACAAUGACAUCCCAUCAUCUUUGCCAUAGUUUAUUGGUUAGAAGCAAGACACAGAUCCUGCCCACAUCAAAAGUGAUAUUACAAAGUAUAAGGAUUAGGCCAGAGCUUCUAAAUUUAUCCUUAGAGUCUGACUUCCACAAUAAAUAUGUUAUCAUUAAACACCACCUGGAUAAUGUAAGUGACUUAGAACAUUUUAAUUUCAUUUAUACCCAUCCCAAUUUAUACUGGCACAUAUUUGACAAAGUGGACUUCAUAAAAUUAAACAUUUUGCUCUGAAAAAGGCACUGCUACUAGAAAGACAAGCACAGGCUUGGAGAAUCCACUCCAAACAAUAUAUAUGAUAAAGUAGUUCCUGUCAUGGCUCAGCAGAAAAGAAUGACUAGUAUCCAUGAGGACACAGGUUUGAUGCCUGGCCUUGCUCAGUGAGUUAAGGAUCUGGCAUUACCGUGAUCCGCGGUGUAGGUCACAGACACAGCUCAGAUCUGGUGUUGCUGUGGCUGUGGUGUAGGCCAGCAGCUACAGCUUCAAUUCAGUCUCUAGCCUAGGAACCUCCAGAUGCUGUAGGUGCAGCCCUAAAAAGACUAUAUAUAUAGAAAUCAAGGAACUCCCUGGUGGCAUAGCACUUGGGAUUCAAUGUUGUCACUGCUAUGCUUGGGCUUGAUCCCUGGUCCAGGAUCUAAUGUGUGUGUGUGUGUGUGUGUAUAUACAUGGGGGGAGAUCUAAACAGUAAGAAAAAAAAGAAUCACCCGCUAAAAGGGGGGGGGGGAAUAUUCAAACAGAAGCUUCACAAAAUAAGACAUUCAGAUGACAAAUAAGUGUAUGAAAAGAUGCUCAAACUCAUAUACCAUUAGCGCAUUGCAAAUUAAAACCACAAUGAUAUACCACUACAUAUUCAAUGACUAAAAUUAAAAAAAUACAGUAAUGCCAAGUGCUGGUUAAGAUGUGGAAGAAGUGGAACAACCAGAACUCAAUACUUAUGGUGGGAAUGCAAAAUGAUAUAGAAACUUUGGAGAAGUUUUAGCCUUCAUUUUCACUCUUAGGCAUUUGCCCUAUUGAACUGAACAUUUACAUUCACACAAAACUGGCAUCUGAGAGUUUAUAGCAACUUUAUUUAUAAUGGCCUAAAAAUGGAUACAUCUCAUUUGUCUAUCAAUUAAUGAAUGGAUAAACAAACUAGUGUAUCCAUACAAUGAAGUACAAAAAUAAAAAGGAAUGAAUAUUAAUUUACCUAAAAACAAUGUAGAUGAUACUUAAAUUCAUUUUACUAAGUGAAAGAAGCCAGAUCAAAAAGGUCUACAUAUUGCAUGAUUCCAUCCAUAUGACUUUCUGUAAAAGGCAAAAACCAUAGGGAUAGAUGACAAACAAGUGGUUUCCAGGGACUGAAGAUGGGGAAAGGGAUUUACAACAAAAAGUGCAAUCAAGAGAAAUUACUAGAGAUGAAACAGUUCUGUAUGGUACUAGAAUGGAAGAACACAUGACUCUAUACUUGUCAAACUAUAGAACUAUACACUGUAAGAGUGAAUUUUAGUGUAUGUAAAUUAGAAACAAUCUCUAAAACAAAUGGAAAUUUACCUAUCAAAUGAUCAGAGAUUUAUUAAAGGAAAGAGCAUGUUUUGAUGAAUGUGUGGAGAAAUAGCACAUUCAUGCACCACUGAUGGGAAUGUAAUUUGUGUGACUAUAUUCAGUAUAAUUUAACAGUACCUUUCAGUGCCCUAAUAAUGCUCUCAUAAUUCAAACUCAGUAAUUCCAAUUCUAGGAAUUAAUUCUAAAGAAAUAGAGAUGCAUAUAAAGGUGAAUAUACAAUAUGUUCAUCAGAAUUUUAUAAGCAAAAUUGGUAACAUCCAAAAUAUCUGCAUCAUGAGAUGAUCUAAAUAAAUUUUGUUAGAUCCAUAUGAAAUAUGACACAAUAUUGUAUUUUUAAAUAAUGUUAAUGACAUGGAAGAAUGCUUAUUUUUAAAUGAGAAAAGUCAGAAAAUACAAUGUCAAUUUUAUUUUUAAACUGUGUUAUAUACACUUUUUUUAGAGUAAAAGGAAGCACAUUACUCUUUACUUUUAUACUUUUCACUUUAUUUUUAAACAAUGAUCAUCUCUUACUUUUGUCAUCAAAAAGAAAACUUUUUUAUUUUGAAAAAACAAACAAGCCCAGCCCAGUGCAGCCAAUCCCAUGAUCUUUUCAGUUGCUAUCUUAACUCAGAAGGCUAUACUAUUGUCCCCCUGGAUGCUUGUUUUUUUCUUGCUCCUCCAGGUACUGGACUCAUUGCAGGUGAAUACCUGCCAAAGUGAGAGAAUGGCAGCAUCUCUCUUCAAACAGGAAACCACUUAAACUGGCCUAGUCAGCCACAGGCUGAUACUGGUAUCAAUCUCUAUGACCCAUGCAGGCAACAGAUGUCUUUAAAAGUUAUAAUGCCCAUCUUAUAUAAUUGGAAGUUUCUCCUCUAAAUCUUUCUUCUUUCUAUGAAAUACAAUCUUUUAAAACCCUUCUCCAAAGCAGCUCUUCCUUUUAAUUUAAGAUAUUGCAUCACAAAUACUAGGUCCAAGGAUUGACCUUUUCCUUAAACUGUUUCCUUAUGCCAUAUCUGGCGUUUGGGGUUGCCUGAAGUCAUUCUGCCCACUGUCUCUGGCCCAAUCAUCCUAUUAAAAAGAAAAAAAAAAGCCAACCUGAGCUAUUUGGUACUACUUGAGCUAUUUCCUCUAUCCUCAACUCCUUUAACACCCUGUCACUGAACCAGAGUUCUUCAAUGUUGCAAAUGUUUUUCUGGGUUGUUUCUUUACGUGGGUCAACAGAAAUUUCCAUAAAGGCAGAUCUACCUGAGAAGAGUGGCUGGCAGUAACUCUCACGGGUAGGAAUAGAAAUAGUGCAGCACAACAACUUAUCUUCAAUCUACCUUUAAAAAUUACAGGUUUAUGAAGCAAGUCUCAGUGCUUCCUUCACUGAAGUAAUGGAUCUUAUGAUUUCUGUCAUUUUUCUCCUCCCCCUCACUCCAUUUUUAAUUGCAAUAAGGAGUUCACGCCUAUCUUCACUCACAAACAUCAGACCUCUCAGGUUUGCUUCCUUCAAUCAUAUAGGCUUCUAGGUCCAAUACCCACUAAAACGUCAAGCAUUUGUUACUCCAAUAUUUCAUAGCUUCCUUCCCUUGCUCUCUGCCCUCCAUUCUUCUCAUAUCCAGAGAAACACGGUGUUACUCCUAGCACCCACCGAAGCUUCAUUCACAAUAAGGCUCCUCCCAGUUAGAGCCUGUAAUAGACUGAUGGCCUGGAGGAAAGAAAAAGAAAACACACCUGCUGAAACCCAUGGGGGGCGGUGCAGGAAAUGAAAAGUGGCUAGAGAGAGCAAGGAGUACACUAGAAGGAUUCUGAAAAAAGAAGAGGCUAGACAUAGGACAAGGCACCAGAAGGUGUGACUGGGCUGUCUUGAGGAAUCAUGGGAAUGUAUUUGAAAGGUACUAACUUUUCACUUCCCUCGUGCCCUCUCUUGCCCAUCUCCAAGAGACAAAGAGUAACCAGGACUCCUGACACUGUUUACUAUUUAACCAUAAGAUUUGUGUCCUUAUAUACCAUAUUC